UACAGAGGGGGCCAGCGUUAUUCGGAAUUAUUGGGCGUAAAGGGCGCGUAGGCGCCAUGCGUGUCUUCCGUGAAAUCCCUCGGCUUAACUGAGGACGUGCGGAAGAAACUGCAAGGCUUGAGUCCGGAAGAGGCGAGUGGAACUCCUGGUGUAGCGGUGGAAUGCGCAGAUAUCAGGAAGAACACCGACGGCGAAGGCAGCUCGCUGGGACGGUACUGACGCUGAGGCGCGAAAGCGUGGGGAGCGAACAGG
rnacentral:rRNA from 1 species